GCCUAACACAUGCAAGUCGAAUGGGACUUAAUGGAAUGCGACUUCGGUCAAAUGAAAUUAAGUUUAGUGGCGAACGGGUGAGUAACGCGUGAGGAACCUGCCUUCCAGGGGGGGACAACAGUUGGAAACGAAUGCUAAUACCGCAUAACAUAUUAGGACCGAAUGAUCUGAAUAUCAAAGCUUUAUGUGCUGGAAGAUGGCCUCGCGUCUGAUUAUCUAGUUGGUGGGGUAACGGCCCACCAAGGGGACGAUCAGUAGCCGGUCUGAGAGGAUGAACGGCCACAUUGGGACUGAGAUACGGCCCAGACUCCUACGGGAGGCAGCAGUGGGGAAUAUUGGGCAAUGGGGGAAACCCUGACCCAGCAACGCCGCGUGAAGGAAGAAGGCCUUCGGGUUGUAAACUUCUUUUACCAGGGACGAAGAACGUGACGGUACCUGGAGAAAAAGCAACGGCUAACUACGUGCCAGCCGCCGCCGUAAGAC
rnacentral:rRNA from 1 species